rnacentral:rRNA from 1 species
UGGGGAAUCUUGGACAAUGGGGGCAACCCUGAUCCAGCCAUGCCGCGUGAGUGAUGAAGGCCUUAGGGUCGUAAAGCUCUUUCGCCUGUGAAGAUAAUGACGGUAGCAGGUAAAGAAACCCCGGCUAACUCCGUGCCAGCAGCCGCGGUAAUACGGAGGGGGUUAGCGUUGUUCGGAAUUACUGGGCGUAAAGCGCACGUAGGCGGACCAGAAAGUUGGGGGUGAAAUCCCAGGGCUCAACCCUGGAACUGCCUUUCAUACUGGCGAUCUGGAGUUCGAGAGAGGUGAGUGGAAUUCCGAGUGUAGAGGUGAAAUUCGUAGAUAUUCGGAGGAACACCAGUGGCGAAGGCGGCUCACUGGCUCGAUACUGACGCUGAGGUGCGAAAGUGUGGGGAGCAAACAGGAUUAGAUACCCUGGUAGUCCACGCCGUAAACGAUGAGUGCUAGAUGUUGGGAUUUUCGGAUUUCAGUGUCGCAGCUAACGCAUUAAGCACUCCGCCUGGGGAGUACGGCCGCAAGGUUAAAACUC